CAUAUACUUUCUGAUAUCUUCUAUAAUGCUCUAUUCAUGUAAGUGUACUUGCCCUUUUGUGUCUUGCAGAUAUGCGGAUCUGUACAUUACUUAGAUGAUGGUUUUUGUUCCGUUUUAUAAAAGAAUUGGCAAAGAAAUCAUCAUGGUCAACAUUGUUUUGAUUUUUGUUAUGGAUGUACUGAUUACAUUGCAUAUUGUGGAGUCAUAUGUUCAAGGAUCGGAGGAGUCUUCUUCUACAUGAUUACUGCUUUUGUGGCGGUUUUUUGUUUAAUCUAUUGAAAAGUUUGUCAGUUCUCUUAACUUCUCAUCUAGCAGGCAGUUCUCAGCUGAAGCUUGUUGUAGUAUGGAUUUAUUAGCUACUGAAUUGGGCAUUGUGAGCUGUUGAUUGACUAAAGAGGCAGCCCUCAGAAGAUUUUUGAUUAUUUCUCCAAUAAGUGAAUUCCUUCGAGCAACAGUAGUUAUUUUCGGGAUUUAUUUGAUGGAUGAUCUAGAUUGUCUCCCUAUCUAUUUUCUUGCUUGGUAUGACUGGAAUUCGGAAGAGGCGUGCGCCCGUGAAACUGUUUGUGUCAGUGUGUGCUUGCGCGUGCAUUCAUUCCUGUUAGAUCCUUUAAGCCUCUAAGCUCCUUUGAUUGCUUUGUGCAAUGUCGAUCUUAGUAUUUGUCCUGUUGA